rnacentral:rRNA from 1 species
CAGCCGCCACGGGAAUACAGAGGAUGCAAGCAUUAUCCGGAAUGAUUGGGCGUAAAGCGUCUGUAGGUGGCUUUUCAAGUCCGCCGUCAAAUCCCAGGGCUCAACCCUGGACAGGCGGUGGAAACUACCAAGCUGGAGUACGGUAGGGGCAGAGGGAUUUUCCGGUGGAGCGGUGAAAUGCGUUGAGAUCGAAAAGAACACCAACGGCGAAAGCACUCUGCUGGGCCGACACUGACACUGAGAGACGAAAGCUAGGGGAGCAAAUGGGAUUAGAUACCCCCGUAGUCCCUGUCUCUUAUAC